rnacentral:rRNA from 1 species
GAUGAACGCUGGCGGCGUGCCUAAUACAUGCAAGUCGAGCGAACGGACGAGAAGCUUGCUUCUCUGAUGUUAGCGGCGGACGGGUGAGUAACACGUGGAUAACCUACCUAUAAGACUGGGAUAACUUCGGGAAACCGGAGCUAAUACCGGAUAAUAUUUUGAACCGCAUGGUUCAAAAGUGAAAGACGGUCUUGCUGUCACUUAUAGAUGGAUCCGCGCUGCAUUAGCUAGUUGGUAAGGUAACGGCUUACCAAGGCAACGAUGCAUAGCCGACCUGAGAGGGUGAUCGGCCACACUGGAACUGAGACACGGUCCAGACUCCUACGGGAGGCAGCAGUAGGGAAUCUUCCGCAAUGGGCGAAAGCCUGACGGAGCAACGCCGCGUGAGUGAUGAAGGUCUUCGGAUCGUAAAACUCUGUUAUUAGGGAAGAACAUAUGUGUAAGUAACUGUGCACAUCUUGACGGUACCUAAUCAGAAAGCCACGGCUAACUACGUGCCAGCAGCCGCGGUAAUACGUAGGUGGCAAGCGUUAUCCCGGAAUAUUGGGCGUAAAGCGCGCGUAGGCGGUUCUUUAAGUCUGAUGUGAAAGCCCACGGCUCAUCCGUGGAGGGUCAUUGGAAACUGGAAAACUUGAGUGCAGAAGAGGAAAGUGGAAUUCCAUGUGUAGCGGUGAAAUGCGCAGAGAUAUGGAGGAACACCAGUGGCGAAGGCGACUUUCUGGUCUGUAACUGACGCUGAUGUGCGAAAGCGUGGGGAUCAAACAGGAUUAGAUACCCUGGUAGUCCACGCCGUAAACGAUGAGUGCUAAGUGUUAGGGGGUUUCCGCCCCUUAGUGCUGCAGCUAACGCAUUAAGCACUCCGCCUGGGGAGUACGACCGCAAGGUUGAAACUCAAAGGAAUUGACGGGGACCCGCACAAGCGGUGGAGCAUGUGGUUUAAUUCGAAGCAACGCGAAGAACCUUACCAAAUCUUGACAUCCUUUGACAACUCUAGAGAUAGAGCCUUCCCCUUCGGGGGACAAAGUGACAGGUGGUGCAUGGUUGUCGUCAGCUCGUGUCGUGAGAUGUUGGGUUAAGUCCCGCAACGAGCGCAACCCUUAAGCUUAGUUGCCAUCAUUAAGUUGGGCACUCUAAGUUGACUGCCGGUGACAAACCGGAGGAAGGUGGGGAUGACGUCAAAUCAUCAUGCCCCUUAUGAUUUGGGCUACACACGUGCUACAAUGGACAAUACAAAGGGCAGCGAAACCGCGAGGUCAAGCAAAUCCCAUAAAGUUGUUCUCAGUUCGGAUUGUAGUCUGCAACUCGACUACAUGAAGCUGGAAUCGCUAGUAAUCGUAGAUCAGCAUGCUACGGUGAAUACGUUCCCGGGUCU